rnacentral:misc_RNA from 1 species
AAGACUAUAGACCUGCGGAGUACCUGCGGAAGGAUCAUUACCGAGUUUACAACUCCCAAACCCCCUGUGAACUUAUACCAUUACUGUUGCUUCGGCGGGUUAUUGCCCCGGGGAAAGGACCAGGUGCCGUCAAGGUUCCCUGCCCGCCCCCGGAAACAGGCGCCUGCCGGGGGACUCAAACUCUUCUGUAUUUUUUACUUUACUGUUAUACUGUCUGAGUAAAAAACUAUAAAUGAAUCA